UAUCUUUACUAGCUUUUAAAAAAGACGAGACUCGUAAUACAUCUAUAUAUAAUUAGCUAAUUUUGAGGGUGCCAAAGUCUGAGAGAUCAAUGCACUGAAGAGUGGAUGCCAUUUUUCUUAGGAUCUCUGGCAUUCUAAAAAGUUAUGAAGUGUCUCGAACAUUCAAAACCCUCAGUAUAUCAAUGUGGGCUGUUCUAGUAACGGAGUGCGGCGUCAUCCAGCUAAAAAAUUAAUAACCUAAAAUCUGUGAAGCCCGGCUUUAAUUCAGGCUACCCGUUAAAAAGUGUUUUACUU